AAUAGAUACCCCGGUAGUCCACGCCGUAAACGAUGAGUGCUAAGUGUUAGAGGGUUUCCGCCCUUUAGUGCUGAAGUUAACGCAUUAAGCACUCCGCCUGGGGAGUACGGCCGCAAGGCUGAAACUCAAAGGAAUUGACGGGGGCCCGCACAAGCGGUGGAGCAUGUGGUUUAAUUCGAAGCAACGCGAAGAACCUUACCAGGUCUUGACAUCCUCUGACAACCCUAGAGAUAGGGCUUCUCCUUCGAGAGCAGAGUGACAGGUGGUGCAUGGUUGUCGUCAGCUCGUGUCGUGAGAUGUUGGGUUAAGUCCCGCAACGAGCGCAACCCUUGAUCUUAGUUGCCAUCAUUCAGUUGGGCACUCUAAGGUGACUGCCGGUGACAAACCGGAGGAAGGUGGGGACGACGUCAAAUCAUCAUGCCCCUUAUGACCUGGGCUACACACGUGCUACAAUGGACGGUACAAAGAGCUGCAAGACCGCGAGGUGGAGCUAAUCUCAUAAAACCGUUCUCAGUUCGGA
rnacentral:rRNA from 1 species